rnacentral:rRNA from 1 species
GUGCCAGCCGCCGCGGUAAUACGUAGGUGGCAAGCGUUAUCCGGAAUUAUUGGGCGUAAAGCGCGCGUAGGCGGUUUUUUAAGUCUGAUGUGAAAGCCCACGGCUCAACCGUGGAGGGUCAUUGGAAACUGGAAAACUUGAGUGCAGAAGAGGAAAGUGGAAUUCCAUGUGUAGCGGUGAAAUGCGCAGAGAUAUGGAGGAACACCAGUGGCGAAGGCGACUUUCUGGUCUGUAACUGACGCUGAUGUGCGAAAGCGUGGGGAUCAA